rnacentral:misc_RNA from 1 species
GAAAGAAAAAUUUGUAUGAUUAAGCAAGGCAGAAGCAACAACACUAUUUUUCUUGUUCCAAUUUACUACUUAUAUGCAUUUUAUGAACCAUUUGAAAAUACUUGGCAUACAGGCACUCAAAGCAAAACUGAGCCACAAUGAAAGUUCUUCCCAGAAAACUUUGUCAAAAAUUUUUAGAAACCUUUCCCUUCAUCACUACCUUCAAAACUGUCUAGUUGUAUGGUAAAGUUAAGAAGAUAAUAGUCAUA